rnacentral:lncRNA from 1 species
CGGGGGGGGUGGGGGGCGCCGAAGUCUGUAUGGAAUUACCUGCGCCCGCGGCGGAGCUGGCAGCGCUGGAUGGAUGGGCGCCGCGUCCGCGGCACUCGCGGCCAGCUGAGCCCCAGGAGUAAACACGGGGCUUCUCCGGCCGAGUGCGCAGUGUGGUGACCGGCACUCGCCUCGCUGACUGAUCGCACCGGAGGAAUAUUUCGGGAGACUCCUGUGGGAAGCAGCCACGGAAAGACAGAAGAUGAAAGCUCCUAUUCCCAACUUGAUUCUCUUGUAUGCUACUCUGACUCAGAGCUUGAAGGUUGUAACCAAAAGGGGAUCAGCACAGAAGUUUGUAAGGGCACAUCAACAAGUUCAACAUGGAAAGUAACUGGCUCUGAGAUACAAGGAUGAGAUCAAAAGUCACCAAAUGGCAAGUGCUUUCAUUCAGUGCUACUGACAAUGUGUGAAGGAACAAAACCAAUCAACUAAUCAAGCCCAG